GACUGCGAAGGAGAACGCAGCAAGCCCAGGCGGCGGUGGAAAGGCUGGAGGACACACCUAAACAUGUGGAAUCCCAAUGCCGCAUUCCUCCUCUUCCUCCUCCUCUUCCAGCAGUGAUUCUGACUGAAUACAGGCCCUGGACCCUUCCCUCAAGUCCCACCAGUUCUGCUCUCCCAUCAAGCUUCAGAUGCCACGUUGUACUGGGGGAAUGUAGCCCUUGUGCUCCCCACCCCCUACCUCCACCUGAGCCUCACCCUGCUGUUGAGCCCUGAGUGGCUAGGGGAAAUAGGAAGAGGAUUGCCAUGGCCUGGCCAUCUUGUUGCUGCUUGGAGAGAUCAUAUAGCUAAUGAAUUAGGCAGGGGAGCUAUUUUUUGAAGAUGAUGAACUAAAUGUUGAAGACAAGUUUGAGAUCUGUAAAAUGUGAUUUUUUACUUCCACUUAUAAUACUUGUGAUUGGGGAGGUUUGUGGAAAUUCAAUUAUGAUGAAAAACCUCUAUCUUUUUUGUAAUGUUGGCAUACUUGGGGGAUUUAGUGGCAAAUACAUUCCCCAGCAGGCCUUUUGUUGGUUGCACUAACUGCAAGGUUGCUGGGAAGUAGAGUCCAUUUGGUUGAUGAGCUUUGACUGCGGUUUUGGAACCUUACCUCUCCUCCUUAGCCCAAUAUGCUGUCUCGGGUCCUAUUCAAAUAAAGUUAUUUCUCCUGGUCUAAAAAAAAAAAAAAAA
rnacentral:lncRNA from 1 species